GUCGAGCGAACAGACGAGGAGCUUGCUCCUCUGACGUUAGCGGCGGACGGGUGAGUAACACGUGGAUAACCUACCUAUAAGACUGGGAUAACUUCGGGAAACCGGAGCUAAUACCGGAUAAUAAAUUGAACCGCAUGGUUCAAUAGUGAAAGACGGUUUUGCUGUCACUUAUAGAUGGAUCCGCGCCGCAUUAGCUAGUUGGUAAGGUAACGGCUUACCAAGGCAACGAUGCGUAGCCGACCUGAGAGGGUGAUCGGCCACACUGGAACUGAGACACGGUCCAGACUCCUACGGGAGGCAGCAGUAGGGAAUCUUCCGCAAUGGGCGAAAGCCUGACGGAGCAACGCCGCGUGAGUGAUGAAGGUCUUCGGAUCGUAAAACUCUGUUAUUAGGGAAGAACAAAUGUGUAAGUAACUAUGCACGUCUUGACGGUACCUAAUCAGAAAGCCACGGCUAACUACGUGCCAGCAGCCGCGGUAAUACGUAGGUGGCAAGCGUUAUCCGGAAUUAUUGGGCGUAAAGCGCGCGUAGGCGGUUUUUUAAGUCUGAUGUGAAAGCCCACGGCUCAACCGUGGAGGGUCAUUGGAAACUGGAAAACUUGAGUGCAGAAGAGGAGAGUGGAAUUCCAUGUGUAGCGGUGAAAUGCGCAGAGAUAUGGAGGAACACCAGUGGCGAAGGCGACUUUCUGGUCUGUAACUGACGCUGAUGUGCGAAAGCGUGGGGAUCAAACAGGAUUAG
rnacentral:rRNA from 1 species